CCCUUAGAUGUUCUGGGCCGCACGCGCGCUACACUGAUGCAUUCAACGAGUCUAAAACCUGCUCUGAUAGGGGUGGGUAAUCUUUUGAAUGUGCAUCGUGAUUGGGAUAGAUGAUUGCAAUUUUUCAUCUUCAACGAGGAAUGCCUAGUAAACGCAAGUCAUCAGCUUGCAUUGAUUACGUCCCUGCCCUUUGUACACACCGCCCGUCGCUCCUACCGAUUGAAUGAUCCGAUGAAUAUCAUGGAUUGAGGAUGCAAGCAGGUUCGCCUGUCUUCAUCUUCGAGAAGUGAAGUAAAUCUUAUCAUUUAGAGGAAGGAGAAGUCGUGACA
rnacentral:rRNA from 1 species